CCCUCUUCUCAGAGGACAAAGCAGGCUUUGAGGGGUUAAGUAGAACUUGCAGGAGCCCACAGCUAAGAGAUGCCUGGAAUCUCCGAAGUGGCAGCAGGACCUUGAAGAACAUGCAGGGGGUUACCUCUAGCUCCUCCAAACUCCUACCACAGAGCUUAGCGGCCGCAGCAGCCCUGGACCUCAGGAAAAUGGAGAGAACAUGAAGACCAAGAGGGCUUCAGAACCUUGGGAACAUUUACUCACCUGGUGAUGCUGGAAACAUUUCUCCCCAGCCUGAAGAAAACUGCAGAACUGCUGAGAGGCACCUGUGAAGUACCAGCUGUGUGACCCAGGGAGGCAAUUUAACUUCUCUGGGCCAAAAUUUCCUCAACUGUAAAAUGUGAAUUCUAAAUACCUACUUAAGAUGGUGAUUGUGAUGGUGGGGAGAGAUGACGUAUAUGACCAUGUCUGAAUUUAGCAGCCACCCUUCGUGAAAUCUACACUGAAGAGGAAAAACAGCACCAACAGUGUGUUUAUUCUGGGUUGGUCUCAUCCUCAGCAAGCUGGCUGUCCCUUCCUGUGACUUGACAGUUGUCUAGCUAAUGGUGUCAGAUUCAAAGACGCUGCUCUCCUCGUCCUCUCCAAACUCAUUUAGCUGUCAGCCCCAGCAAGCUGGCGUAUGAUCUUACAGUAUUUGUGCAGCCCUAGAAAGAGAUGUUCCUGGGAGAAGCAUCACAGUGUGAGCUGUGUCGGCUCAACAGCCAGGAACAGGGACCUGCUGGGUCUCAUUUUGUCACUCUGUUGCAGUGUGAUGAGAUCUCAGCUGCUGGUGUCUGAGGCAGCCCUGGGCGUUUGACCAGGGCAUCCAGAUCAGAGAUGGACCCCGAUGGAGACAUGUGAGGGGAUGCAGCAUUCCCACCACUGUGGCUAGAAGUAACCAUAGCAACUGUCCAGUCUUUUUUCCCUGCUCCAUCCCCACCCGCAAAGGACGCCCUUCCUCAGUGACAAGGGGCUGGACAAAGAGUACCAUUCCUUUAAGGAUGGUUAGAAACUCAUUGCUUCUCCUCCAAUAUGCAGCCAAAUCAGUGCCUCUAAAGAGCCUCUAAGCAUUUAAAAGUUGAAAAAAGAAGUUUGAAAAACAUCUUGUUAAAUAGAGACUGUGAACAGUGUUUGCCUUUGUAGGGGAAGAAGACUUUUCCUCUAUCCAAAGUGGG
rnacentral:lncRNA from 1 species